CCCUUAGAUGUUCUGGGCCGCACGUGCGCUACACUGAUGCAUUCAACGAGCCUAGCCUUGACCGAGAGGUCCGGGCAAUCUUUGAAACUGCAUCGUGAUGGGGCUAGAUUAUUGCAAUUAUUAAUCUUCAACGAGGAAUGCCUAGUAAGCGUGAUUCAUCAAAUCGCGUUGAUUACGUCCCUGCCCUUUGUACACACCGCCCGUCGCUCCUACCGAUUGAGUGUGUUGGUGAGGAGUUUGGAUUGGCCUCGGAAGGUGGUUCGCCACCGUCCGUAGCUGAGAAGUUCUCCAAACCGCCCCACUUAGAGGAAGGAGAAGUCGUAACA
rnacentral:rRNA from 1 species